rnacentral:rRNA from 1 species
GAAUAUUGCACAAUGGGCGGAAGCCUGAUGCAGCGACGCCGCGUGGGGGAUGACGGCCUUCGGGUUGUAAACCUCUUUCGACAGGGACGAAGUGAAAAUGACGGUACCUGUAUAAGAAGCACCGGCUAACUACGUGCCAGCAGCCGCGGUAAUACGUAGGGUGCGAGCGUUGUCCGGAAUUACUGGGCGUAAAGAGCUCGUAGGUGGUUUGUCACGUCGUCUGUGAAAUUCCGGGGCUUAACCUCGGGCGUGCAGGCGAUACGGGCAAUACUUGAGUGCUGUAGGGGAGACUGGAAUUCCUGGUGUAGCGGUGAAAUGCGCAGAUAUCAGGAGGAACACCAAUGGCGAAGGCAGGUCUCUGGGCAGUUACUGACGCUGAGGAGCGAAAGCAUGGGUAGCGAAC